UAAAAUGACAAAUUUCCUACAUUUAAGUAGUCAUUUAGAUAUGUUUGGCUACAUUUGAUGCAAUAACAACAGAAUUUUAUUAAAUUACAAAAAUAUGUGAUCAUAGUAAUGUAUUUUAUUUUAUUAUGUUUCUGCUAAAACACUGGUUUUGUAUUUAUGUGAAUAGAAUAUAGUUGAAAUUGUGCUCAUGAGUGCAAAAUUUUUAGUAAGAAUUAGGAGGCUUCCAUUUUUGUUGUUGCUUGAGGAGCAUAAUGUUAAAUCUGACAUUAAACUAACCUAAUGCAUGGCAUGUUGAUUCAUGCUGUUAAAUGAUUUAUGAGGUGAUGGCAUCGUGGUAGUGGGUGAGAUUGAUGCUUUCUGUCAUUGCAGCUGUUUCUGCCUAUCACAUAUCCUGCUGAUCCAAGCAGAGUGGUUUGAGUUGUUACAGCUCACUGAGUGAAGGGAGGGGGGAGAAGGAGAGUGUAGAAUCAGGUUCAUCACAGUUGUUGGAAAGCCCACGUUAUUGUAUGUUGUUGUCUUUUCUUAGUUAUGUGGCAUUCAUUAAGUGUCAUUCAUUAAUUCUUUGUUUGCAUUGUAAUUUGUAUUUUUCCCACAUUGAUGAAUGCAUCAGAGUUGUACUGACGCUCCUUGAAUGCACCUCACCCGUAGCGAGACACGAUGCUGUGAGAGCCGUUAGAUUCUCACGUCAGGUAGCUGCCAAUAGCGGAUGGGUUUUUCCAGGCUUGUUUGAGUCCAUCCACCUGUUUCUUUGAGUUUUUGCUGUGUGUAAAUGCCAAAAGACCGCAGCUGAAUAAAUCAAUAAAAUCUGAACCAGGA